GAACGCUAGCUACAGGCUUAACACAUGCAAGUCGAGGGGCAGCAUUUCAGUUUGCUUGCAAACUGGAGAUGGCGACCGGCGCACGGGUGAGUAACACGUAUCCAACCUGCCGAUAACUCGGGGAUAGCCUUUCGAAAGAAAGAUUAAUACCCGAUGGUAUAAUCAGACCGCAUGGUCUUGUUAUUAAAGAAUUUCGGUUAUCGAUGGGGAUGCGUUCCAUUAGGCAGUUGGUGAGGUAACGGCUCACCAAACCUUCGAUGGAUAGGGGUUCUGAGAGGAAGGUCCCCCACAUUGGAACUGAGACACGGUCCAAACUCCUACGGGAGGCAGCAGUGAGGAAUAUUGGUCAAUGGGCGCAGGCCUGAACCAGCCAAGUAGCGUGAAGGAUGACUGCCCUAUGGGUUGUAAACUUCUUUUAUAUGGGAAUAAAGUUUUCCACGUGUGGAAUUUUGUAUGUACCAUAUGAAUAAGGAUCGGCUAACUCCGUGCCAGCAGCCGCGGUAAUACGGAGGAUCCGAGCGUUAUCCGGAUUUAUUGGGUUUAAAGGGAGCGUAGGUGGACAGUUAAGUCAGUUGUGAAAGUUUGCGGCUCAACCGUAAAAUUGCAGUUGAUACUGGCUGUCUUGAGUACAGUAGAGGUGGGCGGAAUUCGUGGUGUAGCGGUGAAAUGCUUAGAUAUCACGAAGAACUCCGAUUGCGAAGGCAGCUCACUGGACUGCAACUGACACUGAUGCUCGAAAGUGUGGGUAUCAAACAGGAUUAGAUACCCUGGUAGUCCACACAGUAAACGAUGAAUACUCGCUGUUUGCGAUAUACAGUAAGCGGCCAAGCGAAAGCAUUAAGUAUUCCACCUGGGGAGUACGCCGGCAACGGUGAAACUCAAAGGAAUUGACGGGGGCCCGCACAAGCGGAGGAACAUGUGGUUUAAUUCGAUGAUACGCGAGGAACCUUACCCGGGCUUAAAUUGCAUUUGAAUAUAUUGGAAACAGUAUAGCCGUAAGGCAAAUGUGAAGGUGCUGCAUGGUUGUCGUCAGCUCGUGCCGUGAGGUGUCGGCUUAAGUGCCAUAACGAGCGCAACCCUUAUCUUUAGUUACUAACAGGUCAUGCUGAGGACUCUAGAGAGACUGCCGUCGUAAGAUGUGAGGAAGGUGGGGAUGACGUCAAAUCAGCACGGCCCUUACGUCCGGGGCUACACACGUGUUACAAUGGGGGGUACAGAAGGCAGCUACCUGGUGACAGGAUGCUAAUCCCAAAAGCCUCUCUCAGUUCGGAUCGAAGUCUGCAACCCGACUUCGUGAAGCUGGAUUCGCUAGUAAUCGCGCAUCAGCCAUGGCGCGGUGAAUACGUUCCCGGGCCUUGUACACACCGCCCGUCAAGCCAUGAAAGCCGGGGGUACCUGAAGUACGUAACCGCAAGGAGCGUCCUAGGGUAAAACUGGUAAUUGGGGCUAAGU
rnacentral:rRNA from 1 species